UUGUGCAGUCUUUCACUGGUCUUCUGAAUUUGAUCGAGUUCGUGGGCAGUUUUAUACCUGCUUUUCUCUACAAUAACCAGGAACUGAUCGUCUCUGCUUCAACAGCAGUCAUGCUCUACAUUAUGGCAUCAUAUUUCAGAUGAUGCAAUGCAUCUCUCUUGGCAAUGCACUCAGCAACAAAUUUCGUUCCCUUAACUCUGUUGUCAAAUUUUGUUAAGUGAGGCAAUGAAACAUUCAGUGAAUCAAAAGAAAGAGUUUGUAUUGGUUUAAUAUGGUUUUAUACCAAGAAAAUACCAUUUUAUUGCUCUUGUUUAUCA